CGAUAUAUUUAGUAGAGAGAUGAAACGCAGAGAGAGAGAGAGAGGGGAAGAAGGAAAGGAAAUUGCUGAGCAUUCAAGCCCCCAGAUAUCAGCUGCCGUGAAGCAAAAUCGUUUCUCUCUCCAUUUCAUUUUCUUGAAUUAUCCAAGUCGAUUCCGUAUUACGCAAAGCCCUAAAGCCAAUAAAGUAGCUGUCAUUGGCUUAUUUCUCUCUUGAAGUAGUUGACAUCUGCAAAGGCCAUGGCAGGCAAUGGCCUGCAGGCUUUGGGCCGCGUGAAGCUCGUUGAUCUGAUUCCUUCAGAAGGCCUUCCAUCUGAUUCUUACAAAUUAUCAGUUUCGACUUUGUCACAGUCGCUGGCUCAAUAUUCGGCUGCUAUCAUUCAACUACCACCUGCAGAUGCGGCUCUGUUGAAGUCCUGUCUUGAAUCAGCUCGUCUCUACUUCAAUCAAAGGCCAUCUUACCCAUCUGCGGAUAUGAUUCAUACGAAUGACUCACGUGAAUGGUGCAAGACCUCUGGUUAUUAUGUAAAUCCUCAACUGUGGCAAGAAACUUAUGAUUUUAGGCCAGGCCUCACACCAAUGGAGCCUACUGAGAUGGAAAUUCCUCCUCCUGGUUUGGCCGAUGUAUUUUCACUGCUCGGUAAAGCUUCCAGGGACAUAUUGGAUGCCAUAAGCUUCUAUUUGAACUUGCGUAGCUCUCCAUUUACAGAAAUCCUCGAUAAUGUUCCUCUGAGAAAUCGUGAAAUUUCAUCUUCAGUUCUAUCACUCUGCUGUCAUGCAAGACCAUCGUUUCAGGGAGCUCAACAUCAUGAUUUGGCAACCCAAGAUGAUGGUCAAUUGGCCAUGUUUUCCGAGCAUGAUCAUCAGGCUGAUAAGAGUCUGAUAUCUCUUGUAAAGUCUGAUAAGGCAGGUUUACAAAUAAGAGACCUCCAUGGUCAUUGGGUCAUUGUAGAUGGUGACCUUGGUCCACAUGAAGCCAUUGUUUAUCCUGGACUUGCUCUGUAUCAGGCAACUGCCAGCUAUAUAACCCCUGCACUGCACAGAACAGAUAUUAGCAAUCUUCAGGGUAAUAUGUGGGGACGGUGUUCCCUAGUCUUCAAACUCAUGCCUAAGUCAAUGACCAGUCUUAAUUGUUCAGAAAUGAGGGCAGCAGGACAUGGCGUUGAAGCUCAAUUUCAGCUUCCAGUACCAGUUGAUGACUUCAUGCAGAGAUCACACCCCACUGAUCAACUAUUUAACAGGCACAAUUUUCCAAGCUUCAAUUUUCCUGCUGGCCAAGAUGGAUCUAUGAAGCCAUUGCUGAGGAGGAAGAAUAAUUCGAGAUGCAAACCUCUACCUCCUUCAAAGAGAUUGCGACUUGAGGCACAAAGAGUUCUCAAGGAGAGGGUUCAGGACAUUGCUGAUAAGAAGGGUAUUAAGCUGAGGUUCUGCAACUUGAAGGAGUGUGAGAAUCACAUCCACUCCCUUGAUGGCCCAUGUUCCAACAUAAGAAUGGAGAUUGGAUGGCCGCCAGGAGUCCCAUUUGUUCAUCCCCAUGAUCUUCCUAACAAGGCAAAGAUUAGCUUUCUAGAAACAUAUGAACCUGGUUGGAUAGCUAAUCAUGAUAUGGAGUUAAGUCUAAUCAACCCUGGACAACCAAGGCAAAAUUCAGGAUAACUGUGACUCUUGUUUGAUUUUAAUAUCGCCCUUAUUUUUUAUUUAUUUUUCCUUGCAUGUCCACAUAUAUUCAUGAGUGAGGUGCUCGAGACAUUCAGAAUAUCACUUUAAUCCACGUUCUGCAGUCAAAGCCCCUUGUUAUGUUGCUUAUUAUAUUGUAGCAUGGAAACUAUAUUUUAUAAAUUUUGGGGUGGGAGAAAAGGAAAUAAUCAAACAUAUCAUAGCUUUCCUACUCUAGGCAUUGUAGGGUUCCUGACUUUAUUUCAUCAGAUUUGCAUCAAUUUGUCAAAGGAUAAUAGUGAGAGCUCUUAUAUUAGCUCUCUUUCUGUGUGUUUACAUGCUUGAGAUUGUGUGAACAUUUGUACACAAAUGCACAAAUGUAUAAUCAUGGGGAUUUUUGUUUUAAGAAUAGGAUUAUGAUUGACUGAGCCAUCUCAUCCCUUGUGUUUAUCAUAUUCAAACAUAGUUGAAAAGUAAUUUUUCUGUCGGGUCAAUUUAUAUUUUUCUGGUUAUGCUAGCAGACUGACUCUAUUAAGCUUUCCAAUUUAAUGCCCCUUUUGGCUUAAUUGCUGAGAUGGGUAUAGUAAGUCUAUACAAUGAUAUAAAUUGAUCUUUGUUCAUUAGACGGCAGAUAGUUGGUACUAGCUUAAGAGAAACUUCAAAAUAGCUCCAUUCUAUUUACUGUGACUCAAUGUGUUUAGUUACCAAGUUUAUCCUGUAACUUAAAACAAUUUCUGGAAAAGACCCUGCUACUUUGUGAAAGUACAAUAAUUGAAGAUCUAUUAUAUCUUGGGUUUUGUUGUAAUAGCUAGUUUUAUUCUUGCUUUCCCUUACUUUUGGAUGCUAUUGACAAGAUACGAGUAUAUUGGAUUGUGCUUUGCAGGAAUGAAUCUCCAUAGUCCCAGGACCUGGCCUCCCGUGAACUUGUAAUUGCUUUGUGUUUAAAGGACCUAGCAACCGAAGUUUCCCACAUGCGUGUCCAUCUGAACUUGCUUACCGAUCACUGUGCUGGAGUUCUGUAGCUCAUCUCGUCCAGGUGCUGAGUGUUAUCGGAUUGCCCUCUUCAAGUUUACAGGCAACAUGGCCAGGGGAGUUUGGUUUUGGUGUAAAUAGGUAAAUGCUGCAUUGAAGGAAGGGGGAAGGGGAUAGAUGCAAUCUGGAGUGGUGAAGCCAACGAAUGAAUAAUGAAUGACUAGUCAUAUGGAGCUCGACAGCCAGGGGAAACUUGAACCUCCUUAAUCACACUAACCGGCAGACCAAAUGCUGUUUGAUCAUACAGGCAUACUUAUCUUUGUCUUUGCAGUGAUAAUGAGAAUAUAUAACAUA